GAUGAACGCUGGCGGCGUGCCUAAUACAUGCAAGUCGAGCGAACAGACGAGGAGCUUGCUCCUCUGACGUUAGCGGCGGACGGGUGAGUAACACGUGGAUAACCUACCUAUAAGACUGGGAUAACUUCGGGAAACCGGAGCUAAUACCGGAUAAUAUAUUGAACCGCAUGGUUCAAUAGUGAAAGACGGUUUUGCUGUCACUUCUAGAUGCUUCCGCGCCGCAUUAGCUAGUUGGUAAGGUAACGGCUUACCACGGCAACGAUGCGUAGCCGACCUGAGAGGGUGAUCGGCCACCCUGGAACUGAGACACGGUCAAGACGCCUACGAGAGGCAGCAGUAGGGAAUCUUACGCAGUGGGCGAAAGCCUGACGGAGCAACGCCGCGUGAGUGAUGAAGGUCUUCGGAGCGUAAAACUCUGUUAUUAGGGAAGAACAAAUGUGUAAGUAACUAUGCACGUAUUGACGGUACCUAAUCAGAAAGCCACGGCUAACUACGUG
rnacentral:rRNA from 1 species